rnacentral:rRNA from 1 species
UACGUAGGUGACAAGCGUUGUCCGGAUUUACUGGGCGUAAAGAGCGCGCAGGCGGUCGAUCAAGUCGAGUGUGAAAGCCCCCGGCUCAGCUGGGGAGGGUCAUUCGAUACUGAUCGACUCGAAGGCAGGAGAGGGUAGUGGAAUUCCCGGUGUAGUGGUGAAAUGCGUAGAUAUCGGGAGGAACACCAGUGGCGAAGGCGACUACCUGGCCUGUUCUUGACGCUGAGGCGCGAAAGCUAGGGGAGCAAACGGG